UUAUGUUAUUGUACAAUAGCUUCAAUAUGGUGGUAGUGAGACACGCAGAGACAAAGAAAGGGAAAGGGUGGAAAGAGAUAGAGAGCAGCAAGAGAGAGAAACAGAGAUGCGGAACGGCGAGUCAUCAACGAUCGGCUCCAGACGCGUGCUCGCCUCCCACCUACAUAACCGAAGUCGUCAAGUCUAGGGUUUUCCGGUGAAAAUUCAAGGGUUCAGAGGUGGUAGUGGCGAGUUCCAACUGAAGUAGUGGUGAACCUUUGCGAACGGAGGCUACAGAGGAAAACGAACAGAGCCUUGUGAGUAGGGAUAGGUUAGGGUUUUCCCAAUAAUCCGAUUGAAGCGUGGUGUUGUGGUUGAUUGAUUAGUUUUACAACUACAGGUGUGUCCACAACUUUGAUAUAAAGUUUCAGGCGGACCACCGGCGGCCUAUCCGACGAAAAGGCAGUUAAGGUCGCACCUCCGAUUGUGUCAGAUUUCCCUUAAAUAUGAUAAACCCAUGUCUUAACAGGCCAUUUUCUGAAGUUUAUAUGCCCAUGACUGAGGUGCAAUAUACAGUGAAUAUUGUUGAUUAGCCUGAGUUAGAAAUGAAAGAGAGGAUACAAGAAAAAGGUGGACGAAUUAAACAACAGUCUUUCGAAGCAUAUGGAACAGAUUAAGAAAGAUUUAGUGGACCCCGAAAAACUUUAAGCCACACUCGCCAAUGAAUCUUUCUCUAACGGUUCCGAUCUCAAAAAGUCGCUACAAAUGGUGGCACUACUCGAAGCACAUAAGAAAGAGAUGAACCCUAAUCUUGAUUCCAUCGCUGAUUACCGGAACAAAGUAAGCAUAUACAAUGAGCGUGUCGAGGAGCUUAAUGUGGUAACCAAUGAACGCGACGAUACGAAAAAACAAUAUGAUGAGUGGAGAAAGAGAAGGCUAGAUGAAUUCAUGGCAGGGUUUAACACCAUAUCUCUGAAGUUGAAGGAAAUGUAUCAGGUUUUAAACCACAGUAGUUGGCUUAAAACUGUGGUUUCAAACCACAGUAGUUUGAGGAAUAAUUGGAAGAAUGAUGUGGAUAAGCUUAACUUUUUACAUAGACUGAAUUUCAAAUUUUGUCCUAUAUCUAUAUAUCUAAUUUCAAGCGGUGUCCUUUAUCUUUAAAAUUGACGAUUUUUGUACUUAUUGUUUUAAAAUUUUGCACAGUAUGUCCUUUGACCCUAACUAAGUUAGUUUUUUCUGUUAAAUUAUAUCACAAAAGUGUAGUUUAGUCUUUUUACUAUUUUUUUUAAACUAACAAAUGAAACAAAAAUAAAGAGUGAAUUUCAAAUUUUGUCCUUUAUCUAUAUACUCAAUUUCAAGCGGUGUCCUUUAUCUUUAAAAUUGACGAGUUUUGUACUUAUUGUUUCAAACUUUUGCACGGUAUGUCCUUUAACCCUAACCAAGUUAAUUUUUUCUGUUAAAUCUGAUCAUGUGCCUUAAGCAUGAGGGUAUUUUUGUCAUUUCACCCUUAAAAGGACUAAUUAUGUAAAUAUCUUUAACAAAAGGUUUAAAUAAAAAUAAAAACAUUUUCUCUCUCAUUCUCACAUCUCUGUCUUUGUAUGUCACUUACCACCACCACCAUAAGCUAUCAACCACCACCACCAUCCACUCCACCCACCCAUCUUUAUCUAUUUUUGUCACGACUUACCACCACCUAUUGUCAUUACUUUACCCAACCCACAAUUAUAGUCCACCAGCAACAAGGGUGGUGGUGGUGAUAAUGGUUGUGUGAUGAUGAUGUGGGAGAGUGGUGGAGAGUGGCGGCUAGAGGUGGUUGUUGGUGGGUUAAUAGUGACUGUGGAGAGAAGGGUAGAGAAAGAUGCUAACAAGGUUUAUAUAUACAUAUUAUAUUAUAUUAGUUUUGUUUGAUUUGAUUUAUUUUUGAGUGAAUUGCAAAUUUUGUCCUUUAUCUUUAUACCUAUUUGCAGGCGCUGUCCUUUAUGUUUAAAUUUGACAAGUUUUGUACUUAAUGUUUCAAAAUCUUGCACGUUAUGUCCUUUGACCCUAACUUAGUUGAUUUAAAUUGUUAAGUGAAGGGCAAAUUGGUCUUUUUACCUAUUUAUUUACCAAAACCAUUUUAAUAAUUUAAAUAACUAAAACAAAAUGAAUUUUUUAUUAUAUCUAUUAUCUAUAUUAAAACAAAACAUUUUAGUGCCACUUGGCAUUAUCUUAAACCUAUUAGUGCCACCUGUCAUCUAAAUAUUCCUCACAAUUCUCAUUUGAGCGGCAACACGUCCAUUCACUUCCUCUGCUUCUCUACCGCCUCUGUAUUUAGGUUGUAACGCUCAUAAAGACUUUUCAAGUUUCCAUAAUUUUUUGAAAUCACCAAAUCCCUUUCUCUCUCUAAAUUUUUUGUGAUGGUGGUUUAUGGUCUCUGGUCCUCGGUGUUAGCAACGACGGCUAGGGUUUUUAAGCGAGAUAUGAACGACGUUUGUUCCAGUUAGGGUUCCGACGAUCGACAACUUGUGGGUUGCUGAGAUGACAGAGAUGGUGGUUGGAGCUAUAUCAGCUAGGGUUUCCGGCAAAGAAGGAAACGCAGCGGUUACUCAGCGAACCAGCUCAGGGGAUAAGCGUGUCGCCUUCCGAAGAUAAUAUGCAUUAUUUUAAUGUUAUGAUCCUUGGUCCAACGCAGUCUCCUUAUGAAGCCGCUUAUUUUAACAAGAAUUCUUGAAAGACAACAAUCUACUGGAUCUUUCGACAAUCAUAACUCCAAAAUCAGAGCACAGGCAAG